GCUCGGACGCUGCCUGGGAGCCUCCGCACGCGCGGGCGCCGAGGGGCCGCCACGGCCUGCCCUGCCACGGCGCGGCGGGGAGCAGAACGGCCGGCACCGCCCGCGUCCCUCCGCCCGCUCCGGCUCCAGUUUAGGACAAGCAUUUGCUUGGAGGAGGCAUGUUAGCAGGCGGCGCUCCCCGUGCCGUGCCGCGCCGUGCCGCGGCCGGGUUUGCAGCGGAGCACCGCGCGACGGGGAGCAGCACGAGCCCGCCGGAGACCAGCCGCGGGGACGGAUGCGGACCACCGCCACGAGCCGCAGCGCGGGGCCGGGGAGAGCGCGGGGGCCGGCAGCCCUUCCCUCCACCCCGCCCCGCCGGCGGCUUCGACGCCGGGUUCAGAGCCGCGAGAAUUGGGAUUGUGGUGCGGGGCGCCCGGAGGCACUCCGUCCCCGCUGCGCGCGGCCGCGGGAAGAGCGCCCCAGGAAAUCUAAGUAUGAGCAGGCAGAAUGUUGCUCUAAUUGUUAUGUUAGUACCUUCUGCAGCAAAUUAAUGCAUGAAACAUUUUCAUUUCGGUACAUAAGUUUGUGUGUGUCUGAGUUAAACAUUUAUGUUAAUGGACCUUCUGGCAGAUCUGUAAUGUUUCAAAUACUCUUGUAGAACAGCUUUUUCUAAAUACAUCAUUUAGCAGUUCUUCCCCAUUUUCUACCUGAUCUGGGGGCAUGUAGGAAGGGAAACUAUUUCACAGCUUUAAAAACCUCCCGCUUGAGUAACUACAAAACCGAGCCGCGUUCAGGCAAGGUAGCAAUUAAGCCUGCACCGCCACUAGCAAUGUAAACUGUAUUAAAAAAAAAAAUUAAAUAAAAGGCACACUAAUAGCCAGCAUAU